rnacentral:rRNA from 1 species
GACGAACGCUGGCGGCGUGCCUAAUACAUGCAAGUAGAACGCUGAAGGAGGAGCUUGCUUCUCUGGAUGAGUUGCGAACGGGUGAGUAACGCGUAGGUAACCUGCCUGGUAGCGGGGGAUAACUAUUGGAAACGAUAGCUAAUACCGCUUAACAGUAGAUAUCGCAUGAUAUCUACUUGAAAGGUGCAAUUGCAUCACUACCAGAUGGACCUGCGUUGUAUUAGCUAGUUGGUGAGGUAACGGCUCACCAAGGCGACGAUACAUAGCCGACCUGAGAGGGGGAUCGGCCAAACUGGGACUGAGACACGGCCCAGACUCCUAAGGGAGGCAGCAGUAGGGAAUCUUCGGCAAUGGACGGAAGUCUGACCGAGCAACGCCGCGUGAGUGAAGAAGGUUUUCGGAUCGUAAAGCUCUGUUGUAAGAGAAGAAAGAGUGUGAGAGUGGAAAGUUCACACUGUGACGGUAUCUUAACAGAAAGGGACGGCUAACUACGUG